CCCCGCUGCAGGCCCCGCCCACCAGCCCGGGUCCACCCGCGAGGCGCGGGGCACAGGCUUGGCAGAUGCACACGAGGAAGAGGAAGGGAUCCUCGCAAGCUUUGAAAGGCGCCGUCAAGUCAAAUAAAUAAAUGCCCUACAACACCAACCCAGGACUGAGAUCUGCAUGCUGGAAUGACGGUGGUGGUGGUGGCUUUCAGUAUUCCCCAGGUUUUGUCCGGAGCACCGGCACGCCCUCUCUUGAAGUCCGCUCUCCGCACAGCUUUUUAACUUGAUUAGUGGUUAGACGGGAAGAUCCGGAGCUGUCCAGUGUCUUGGGUAAUGCACGGCAUCGCCUGAUGUCUGACGCUAGAACACCACGUAAAGUCAAGCAGAGGGAAGUGAAUGCGCCCUAGGCCCCUGCAGGCCACCAAGAAGAGCUAGAGGGAGUUGGUGCAAUCCUAGAGAUGCCGGCAGGUGCACCAAUCUGUGGCACACGUACGCUCUCCAAUGGAAGACAACUCAAGACCACACCAAGUUUGUAUUAAAAAAGUACUGUUGUGUUACUUUUUACCAACCUCCAAUCAUUAUACAAAAUGUUAAAAAAUACACAAACACACACACACACUCACAGCCAUAGAGGUUAUCGCAAAAGAUCAACCCAGAAUCUUUCAGAAUAUGACAGAUGCACUGAGAAGGCAGAUAAAUUGAUUCAAUAUACAAAAGGCCUCUUUCCUAUGGAAUUUCAUUAGAUUAAAUAAGGUGUUCCCUCCUCACAGCCUCAUCCUUAUGAGCAAUCAUAUAAAUAAUCUAUUUAAAGUCCUUGAACUAUAACUUGUAUAAUUUUUAGUUUUCCCCCUUUGAAGGGGCCUAAGAGAAAGGUUUGAGAAACCAGCUCUUGAGGGGGGCAGGGGUGAGGGGUAAGAGGUCCUGUGCCUUUCAUUCAUCCUGGGAGCUUCUCAGGAUUGCAGCAUUUCCACCUGAGUGUUCAUUCUUGUACAUUUUCUCAUCUUUCUCCUGGGUUCCUAGGAUCUUGGAGAUUACCUAGUCCAAUCCUUUUACUUCAGAAACAAAAAACCUGAGGCUCAGAAAGGCUAAGUCAAAUGCCUAGGGUCACACAGGGAAACUGUGGGAGUUGGAUCCCUGAGUCCCAGUCCUUAAACUGGUUGCUACAUGACAUUCUAGAACCUCUCCCCACCAACUCCCUUUUUAAAGACAGGGUCUGGUUCUGUCACCCAGGCUGAAGUGCAGUGACAUGAUCUUGGCUCACUGCAACCUCCGCUUCCUGGGCUCAAGCCAUUCUCCCACCUCAGCCUCCCAAGUAGCUGGGACAACAGGCACAUGCCACUACGCCCAGUUAAUUUUUCUAAUUUUGUUUUGUAGAGACAGAUUUGCCAUGUUGCCCAGGCUGGUCUCGAAUUACUGGCCUCAAGCGAUACGCCUGUUUAGGCAUCCCAAAGUGCUGGGGUUACCGGCAGGAGCAAUUGCUCCGGGCCAGACUUCCCUUCCCCCGCCCACACCCCCCCAACCCGGCCUAGAUCCACAGGCACUGUAAUCACAGCUGACACACUCGACUCGGAAUCAGCAUAGAGAGCACUCUGAAAAUUGUCAAAUAGGGUCCCUGAAACUUGUAUACCAUACUUCUCCUGAAGAUCUUGAAGCAUCUUUGUGUUUGCUUUUUUUUUUUUUAACUUAAAAUAUGGCAUUCAGGUUUUAUCCCUCUCCCCGACGCCAUGUUUCCUUUCUGUAUUAGUCACACACGUGAUCCUAAAGUCUGUCUUCCCCACUUUAACUGGGGAGGGCUGGACAAGGUGGAAUUCCAAUUGCAGGAGACAGGAUGUGACAUGGGUGAGGUGCCCAAGGCUCACCGACUGAAACUUCGAUGGCUCUUCCCUGUUUCCUUGUGCAGGGCCCCCCUUCUCUCCACUGCUCACCUGGCUCUCCUCCUCCCUUCCUGCCUGCUUUGCAGCUCUUGCUACUAUUUUCCUUUUCUUUCCCUGCUCCCACCCUGGCCCAAUUUAUUUCACAGAAAUAUCACAGGGCCAGCCAGGCACAGCGGCUCACCCCUGUAAUCCCAGCACUUUACGAGGCUGAGGAGGGCAGAUCACUUGAGGUCAGGAGUUUGAGACCAGCCUGGCCAACAUGGUAAAAUCCUGUCUCUACUAAAAAUACAAAAAUUUGCUAGGCAUGGUGGCAGGCGCCUGUAAUCCCAGCUACUUGCGAGGGAGGCUGAGGCAGGAGAAUCACUUGAACCUGGGAGGCGGAUGUUGCAGUGAGCCAAGAUCACACCAUUGCGCUCCAGCUUGGGCGACAGAACGAGACUCUGUCUC
rnacentral:lncRNA from 1 species